rnacentral:rRNA from 1 species
AUUGAACGCUGGCGGAAUGCUUUACACAUGCAAGUCGAACGGCAGCACAGGUGCUUGCACCUGGUGGCGAGCGGCGAACGGGUGAGUAAUACAUCGGAACGUACCCAGUCGUGGGGGAUAACGUAGCGAAAGUUACGCUAAUACCGCAUACGUCCUGAGGGAGAAAGCGGGGGACCGUAUGGCCUCGCGCGAUUGGAGCGGCCGAUGGCGGAUUAGCUAGUUGGUGGGGUAAAGGCCUACCAAGGCGACGAUCCGUAGCGGGUCUGAGAGGACGGCCCGCCACACUGGAACUGAGACACGGUCCAGACUCCUACGGGAGGCAGCAGUGGGGAAUUUUGGACAAUGGGCGAAAGACUGAUCCAGCCAUUCCGCGUGAGUGAAGAAGGCCUUCGGGUUGUAAAGCUCUUUCGGCAGGGAAGAAACGGCUUGGGAUAAUACCCCGGGCUAAUGACGGUACCUGAAGAAGAAGCACCGGCUAACUACGUGCCAGCCGCCGCCGUAA